rnacentral:lncRNA from 1 species
AUGUUUGGACGGCUGCAAGAGAGGGAGAAGAGAGAGAGUCGGCGGCUACAAGGGGGAAGGGGCUAGCGCCUCCUUGCUUUUCUUUCCUUUUAUGGACCUGGCGGCAAGAAACCCUAGGGUUUCUUGCUCCUGGGGCAUGGAGAAUGGCUGGAGAGAGAGGGAGAAGAGAGUUCUGUAUUCUUUUGGCUUGAUCAAACCUAUACAAGUACAUGUAUAUAUAAACACAGGGUCAAGUGACCCAAACCCAAAACUCCCUUGACCAACUCUAUGG